rnacentral:rRNA from 1 species
UUGCCAGCAGCCGCGGUAAUACGUAGGGUGCAAGCGUUAAUCGGAAUUACUGGGCGUAAGGCGUGCGCAGGCGGUGAUGUAAGACAGGAGUGAAAUCCCCGGGCUUAACCUGGGAGCUGCAUUUGUGACUGCAUCGCUGGAGUGCGGCAGAGGGGGAUGGAAUUCCGCGUGUAGCAGUGAAAUGCGUAGAUAUGCGGAGGAACACCGAUGGCGAAGGCAAUCCCCUGGGCCUGCACUGACGCCCAUGCACGAAAGCGUGGGGAGCAAACAGGAUUAGAAACCCGGGUAGUCC